rnacentral:rRNA from 1 species
CCUACGGGAGGCAGCAGUGGGGAAUAUUGGACAAUGGGCGAAAGCCUGAUCCAGCAAUGCCGCGUGAGUGAAGAAGGCCUUCGGGUUGUAAAGCUCUUUUACCCGGGAAGAUAAUGACUGUACCGGGAGAAUAAGCCCCGGCUAACUCCGUGCCAGCAGCCGCGGUAAUACGGAGGGGGCUAGCGUUGUUCGGAAUUACUGGGCGUAAAGCGUACGUAGGCGGCUUUGUAAGUCAGAGGUGAAAGCCCACGACUCAAUCGUGGAACUGCCUUUGAGACUGCUUCGCUUGAAGAUGGGAGAGGUUAGUGGAAUUCCGAGUGUAGAGGUGAAAUUCGUAGAUAUUCGGAAGAACACCAGUGGCGAAGGCGGCUAACUGGACCAUUCUUGACGCUGAGGUACGAAAGCGUGGGGAGCAAACAGGAUUAGAUACCCUGGUAGUCCACGCCGUAAACGAUGAUAACUAGCUGUCGGGGCUCUUGGAGCUUCGGUGGCGCAGCUAACGCAUUAAGUUAUCCGCCUGGGGAGUACGGCCGCAGGUUAAAACUCAAAGGAUUGACGG